rnacentral:lncRNA from 1 species
CAGGUGAGCCACACAUGAAACACAGCUGAGGCAUGCAUGAGCCACGUGCCAGCCAUGACUGAGUAUGUGGGGCCACGUUUCAGCAACUUGGGAGCCACACCUGUACAACAUGUCCCACGUGUGACCACAUGCCUGCCAUGCAUGGAUAAUGUGCGAUGAAUGCCUGAGUCACGUGUGAGCAAUGCCUGCAUCAUGUGUCAGGCCCACAUCAGGAAAGUGCCAGCCACAGCUGAAUCACCUGUUACCCACAUCCAAACCACAUGUCAGCCAUGCCUGAGCCAUGUGUCAAUUGUGACACAGUGAGUGUCAGCAACAGCAAUCACGUGUCACUGCGACCUCAACGAAACACCACACAGCACUGGAACCUGUGUCUGACACACCUGAAACCCAUGCCUGAAACACAUGUGAGCAACGCCUGAGUCUCGUGUCAGACAUGCCUGAGCCACGUGCAUACCAUGCCAGAGCCAUGCCCCAGCCAUGCUUGAUCCUCCCCUGAGACGUGCAUUAGCCAUGUGUGACAAACUCCUGAAUCACGUGUUAGGCACACCUGGCCCCGGUGUGAGGCUCACCUGAACUGCAUGUGAGCCAUGGCUGAGCCAUGCCUGCACCACAUGUGAUCCACGCCUGAAUCACGGGUGACACACUCCUCAACCAUAGGUCACAGGCACAUGAGAUAUGUGUGAGCCACACCUGGGUUACACCUGAACCAUUUGGGAGCCACACCUGAACCAUGACUGAACCACAUGUGUCACACUUGAACCACAUUGGAAAAAUGAGUGAAGCACCCAUGUUCAAUGCCUGAACCACACGUGAGCCACAUGGGAGCCACACGAGAAACAUGUCUGGGCCAUGUGUCAGCCAUGUGCCAGCUAAGUCUGCGUAGGUGGGAGCCAUGUGUCAGCAGUGAGUGAGUCACGUGUGUGCCACACAUGAAUGACAUGUGACCCAUGCAUGAAACACAUGUCUGCCAUGCAUGUAUAAUGUACGAUUAAUGCCUGAGUCUCUGCCAUGCCUGCGUCAUGUGUCAGCCACACCUGAAACACCUGACACCCCUGCGUGAAUGAUGCACCAGCCACCCCUGAGCCAGGUGGAGGCCGUGCAUGAAGCAGGUGCGAGCCAAACCUGUGUGAUGCGACAGGCACGCCUGUGUCACAUGGCUGCCUCACCUGAGUCAUGUGUCAGCCAUGCCUGUAAAACGUGUGAGCCACGCCUGAGUCUCAUCUCAGCCAUGCCGAAGUCACAUGCCAGCCACGACUGAACCAUAUGCCUGUCCCAAUUUAACCACACUCCCGCCUCACUUGAAGCAUGUGUAAGCCACUCUGGAGCCAUCUGCCUGCAUGCCUGAAAUACGUGUCAACCAUGCCACAAACAAGGGUGAACCACGCCUGAGCAGCGCCACAGCCAUGCAUGUGCCACACCACAGCCGUGUGGUGGCCAUGUGUGACAAACGUCUGAAUCUUGCAUCAGCCACAAG